ensembl:lncRNA
GGUGUUUCCUCAGAAGAACCAGCAGAGUCACUUGCUGACUGAUGUUCGUCUGCACUGCACAGAGGAAAUCAGCUGACCGAGGAGUGUUUCAGAGUGAGGGGGAAGGAGUCAUCAUCCAGGUAAAGUGACGUGGAUCCGUGGACACACUUGUCUCCCCUUUAAAGGAGACGAUCCAAGUCAUCCUUAAAUAUGGGCAGCAUAUCAGUCUUGGACUGUCUAACCUGCAGCACUGAAUGACCACCACACAUGAGCAUGUUCCUGCAACAUUCAGCAUCUGAUCCUUCAUCUGUGUGCUUCUGCUUUUGUGUCACAUGUCAAACAGCUGGAGAGGAAACUACACCAGUGUACUGAGAUGUUUCACCAACACGUGCCAGAUGCUGUUCCUUCAUGGUGACAUCACCAGAGACAGCCCCGCCCACCUCAGGACCUCGCCAUUGAUCAUGAUGAUUAUAAUGAUGACAGCGAGCGGAACUAAGACUGUAAAAAUCCACGACCAGAAUGUUUCUUUCUAAUUAUGAACGAAUAGUGAGAGCCUCUUUCUGUGUUUUGUCUGUUUUGGGUUUUUACCUCAUUUGUUACUAACAAAGUUCACAAACUCACACAGUUUACAUUCUGUAUGUUUCCAUCUUUACCAGACACACUCUAACUGCAUUUAAGAAAAUAAUCCUUAAAAAUCGUCGUUUUUCUCUUUUGUAAUUGAUGAUAAUUCAGUGAAUAUACUGCGCUGCUUCCUUUUAUUGCGUCUCACAUUGCUUUAAGUUUUUCAGUGUCCAGUUAUUUUUUACUGCUGUUUGAAUUCUCUGUAUGUUUGACCCUGUAGACUGUUUGAUGGACUGCUUGUCUUCCUGUUUGUAACCGCCG